rnacentral:lncRNA from 1 species
CCUCUUUGAAGAUGAAAACAAUUCAACAACCUUCUUCUCCAUGCCUUUCAGAAUGAAUUUCUUCUUCUCCCGGAUUUUUCUUUCAAUUCUUGGCUGAAGUUUCAAGCUGUGAUCACUCCAGGAUUGCAGGAAUGAGUUUGCCCUUCUCUUCUGCUCUUGGAUCAUGUGAGGACACAGAGUUCCUUUCCCUGAAAAUGCACCAACGAGGCACCACCUUGGAAGUGGAGACCAGGCCCUUAACAGACACCAAACCUAUAGGAAUCUUGAUGUUGGAUCUCCCAGCCUCCAAAACUGUGAGAAAUAGAUUUAUGUUCUUUAUAAAUCACCCAGUCUGUGGUGCUCUAUUAUAGCAGCACAAAACAGACUAAGAUAGCAGGUACAUACGGACAAACGGUAUAUGAUUGUACACAGGUGAACAUGUACUUAAACAGAAUAUGGUAGUGCACAAGCAAACACAUGCAUAAACAGUACGUAGUCACACACAGGCUAAUGCAUACAUAGGCCAGAUCAUUUCCCACAUUGGCAGUACUAUGAAGGGGAUGAAGAUGGGCUCAGAGGAUCGGGAGUGGAUAGAGGUCCAGGGCAGUAAGAGCCACUGUAGAUGAGGUGGUCAGGGAAGGUGUCCCUGAAAAGAUUCCACCUGAACUGACACCAAAGGGCAGGGGUGGGCAGCGAUGAAAAGGGCCCCUCUCUCAGGCAGGGAGCAGCAAAUUCAUUAUCAUUGAGGCAGGACGCAGCUUAGCAUUGCUCAGGACAAUAUGAUCAGUGUGGCUGGAGAUCAGUGCACUUUCGGAGGUGACAUGGAUUGAGGUUAGGAAGACUAGCAGGUGUUGACUCCUCCAGGUCUUAAUUUAUAAGGGUAGCAGAUCUGAUAGGCUACUUGUGAUGUGGUGAGCGCCCCAUCAACUGGGCAAUGGAAAGAGGGGCUGGGUGACCACUGAUCAGCAAUGUCGGAAGUGGGAGAGAGUGAGGAAGAAAUUGAAGUGGAAUGCUUUAAAGCACUGUCCGUCUUUGACAUCAAGACACUCACUUUGCUGAGCUCAGAGACAUCUGAAGUUUAAUCACCUGCAGAUUUGAUUGAAUGUAUUUUGCCAAUAUUGAGGGACAGCCACCAUGAGGAGAAGUGCCAGUGCAGCUGCCAACUGAGGAGAGGCCAGGACCUCAGUACCAUGGAUACAGCAAAUGUGGACAGAGCCAGUGCCGUGGCUCAUUUAGAGCCAGAUGUGAAAGGCAGCUGGCUGUGCCUCCUUGCUUUGACUGCUGAAAACCAUAAAUAAAUACAUGUAAAAAGUUGGAUGUUAGCUCUGUCAUUAUUUUACAAUGAUGAUAGGACGUUAGAAUAUGAAUGCAGUUUGAAAGAUAGCACUGUCUUUGAUACAUCAAAAAGCCCUCUCCACUUGACUAGAACUUU